CGAGGAUCCCCCUAGU
rnacentral:rRNA from 5 species